rnacentral:lncRNA from 1 species
AUGGGUUUAUCCAUUCAAACACAAAAUGUAAAUAAACUUGUAUAUUCUUUUCUUAUCUCUUCAAUCAUGUUUGCACAAAUAAACUUUCACAAAACAACAACCUUACAACAAGUAUGAAAAGGGCUCCCUAGGAGUACCUAGGAUGUUUUGGGUGCCUAACACCUUCCCAUUGCAUAACCAACCCCCUUACCCAGAUCUCUGACUCUCUUUUAC